AAUGAACGUUGGCGGCGUGGAUUAGGCAUGCAAGUCGAGCGCGAUAUGUAGCAAUACAUGGAGAGCGGCGAAAGGGAGAGUAAUACGUAGGUAUCUACCCUCGGGUCUGGGAUAGCAGCGGGAAACUGCUGGUAAUACCAGAUAACGUCUCCGGACCAAAGGUGUGAUUCCACCUGAGGAGGAGCCUACGGCCUAUUAGCUAGUUGGUAGGGUAACGGCCUACCAAGGCAAAGAUGGGUAUGGGGUGUGAGAGCAUGCCCCCACUCACUGGACUGAGACACUGCCCAGACACCUACGGGUGGCUGCAGUCGAGAAUCUUCGGCAAUGGGCGAAAGCCUGACCGAGCGACGCCGCGUGCGGGAUGAAGGCCUUCGGGUUGUAAACCGCUGUCGUAGUGGAGGAAAUGUAGGAGAGUUAUCUCUUCUACUUGACUAAUACUAGGAGGAAGGACCGGCUAAUCUCGUGCCAGCAGCCGCGGUAAU
rnacentral:rRNA from 1 species